rnacentral:rRNA from 1 species
UACGUAGGGUGCAAGCGUUGUCCGGAAUUAUUGGGCGUAAAGAGCUCGUAGGCGGUUUGUCGCGUCUGCUGUGAAAACUCGGGGCUUAACCCCGGGCCUGCAGUGGGUACGGGCAGACUAGAGUGCGGUAGGGGAGACUGGAAUUCCUGGUGUAGCGGUGGAAUGCGCAGAUAUCAGGAGGAACACCGAUGGCGAAGGCAGAUCUCUGGGCCGUUACUGACGCUGAGGAGCGAAAGCGUGGGGAGCGAACAGG